UCCGUAGGGACCAAGCGUUGUUCGGAUUUACUGGGCGUAAAGGGCGCGUAGGCGGCGCGGUAAGUCACUUGUGAAAUCUCCGGGCUUAACUCGGAACGGCCAAGUGAAACUGUCAUGCUAGAGUGCAGAAGGGGCAAUCGGAAUUCUUGGUGUAGCGGUGAAAUGCGUAGAUAUCAAGAGGAACACCUGAGGUGAAGACGGGUUGCUGGGCUGACACUGACGCUGAGGCGCGAAAGCCAGGGGAGCAAACGGG
rnacentral:rRNA from 1 species